AUGAACGCUGGCGGCGUGCCUAAUACAUGCAAGUCGAGCGAACGGACGAGAAGCUUGCUUCUCUGAUGUUAGCGGCGGACGGGUGAGUAACACGUGGAUAACCUACCUAUAAGACUGGGAUAACUUCGGGAAACCGGAGCUAAUACCGGAUAAUAUUUUGAACCGCAUGGUUCAAAAGUGAAAGACGGUCUUGCUGUCACUUAUAGAUGGAUCCGCGCUGCAUUAGCUAGUUGGUAAGGUAACGGCUUACCAAGGCAAUGAUGCAUAGCCGACCUGAGAGGGUGAUCGGCCACACUGGAACUGAGACACGGUCCAGACUCCUACGGGAGGCAGCAGUAGGGAAUCUUCCGCAAUGGGCGAAAGCCUGACGGAGCAACGCCGCGUGAGUGAUGAAGGUCUUCGGAUCGUAAAACUCUGUUAUUAGGGAAGAACAUAUGUGUAAGUAACUGUGCACAUCUUGACGGUACCUAAUCAGAAAGCCACGGCUAACUACGUG
rnacentral:rRNA from 1 species